UUUUUGCCAAAAGUUGAACUUCCCCCUUCUUUUUCCCGCACAAAACAAUUCUGUAUAUAAACCUAAAUUCUGCCAAAAACCCACAUGCUCUAUCAGAGCCUCCAAUCUACUGCCGCGUUUGAGCCUUAGCUAGAGUAGAGAUGAAGGUUGUCGCUGCAUAUUUGCUCACUGUUUUGGGCGGCAACGCCAGCCUCUCCGCCAAGGACUUGGAAGACCAUUCUCGCCUCCGGUCCUUUAAUGUGAACAACUUAACUGGACCAAUCUCUGUCUUCUUGGGAUACAUCAGCACUCUAAAGUACUUGAACCUUGAGACUAACAUGUGUUCUGGAACUGUUCCUCCUGAGCUUGGGAAGUUGGUUAACUUGCAGAAUCUGAACUGCAUGAGAGAGUAUUAGUAUUGAAGGCUUGAAGGCUUGAAGAUGGAGGUGAGUCCUUAAGUUGGGGAGGAGGUUCUGGAAGACUUGGUCAUGGCCCUGAAUCAGGCAUUUUAGGAAUUUUCAAAAGUACCGGGUUUCAUUUGCAGUGGUUGUAAUUGUUUCUUAUAUCAAUGUGUUUCUUAUAUCAAUGCUGUGAUUUGGUGUUAAAGCAUCUUUCAGUCAUGCAAAAACAUAGGCUGAGGGACUUUUAGUGGAGGUGAUGCUCUAAACCCUGAAAUAAGGUGUUAAUUGAUCGCUGGAUGUUGGAAAAGAUGAAGGAUGACGAACGCCUCAAUGAGGAAAGAGUACAUUCAGAGAUGGUGAGAACUUUUGAUAUUGAAGCUAUGAGGACAGCCACUCCACCUGCACUCGCUGUGUUUAAAAGCCUCAAAAGUUUAUCAGAGUAUGCUAUACUAACAUGGAUUUGUAUCAAUCUAAUACAAAUAUAUGAGGUGUUGAAGUCCCAUAAUCUGUGAUGAACUUGACUUCGAAAAGGGGUUCUUUAGCCAGAAAGGCAAGAAAGAAUGCAGAAAGCAUUGUAAGAGACCAGGCAGGAAUGGCAAGAGAGCGGUUUCAGAUUGCUGCAAAAGCAGGAUGUGAUCUUGGACAGAAAUGGUAGGAAAGACUUGACUAGGAAGAGAAUCAUCUAUUGACCGAAGAUUAGAAGAUUAGUAGAGUAUUCAUUAAGUUAUUUUUUCUAGUUCAUUUUGUAGUCACUUCAUACUUUUUGUAUGUAUAUUAAUGUAUUUUAGUAAGUAAUAUAGUCCUUUUGGUGA